rnacentral:rRNA from 1 species
UACGUAGGGCGCAAGCGUUGUCCGGAAUUAUUGGGCGUAAAGAGCUCGUAGGCGGCUUGUCACGUCGGAUGUGAAAGCCCGGGGCUUAACCCCGGGUCUGCAUUCGAUACGGGCUAGCUAGAGUGUGGUAGGGGAGAUCGGAAUUCUUGGUGUAGCGGUGAAAUGCGCAGAUAUCAGGAGGAACACCGGUGGCGAAGGCGGAUCUCUGGGCCAUUACUGACGCUGAGGAGCGAAAGCGUGGGGGAGCGAACAGG